CGAGUGACGUUUUCGUCUUUACCCCGCUGGCACUUACCAAGGCUAAAUUAGCCAUGGUAAAUGUUGUCAGGUUGUCACUUUGUCAGUAUGACGCGAGCUCUCGAAGAGUAAAAAUAUCACGAAAAAUGGGUAAAUGCGCCGUACUUUAUUGAAAAAAUUAUUCCGGUCACACAAGAAAUGUUUCUUAUCACGCGUAAGUACAUUUUAAAUCUAUUAUAGUAGCUAUUUUUUCGUAAAAUAAAUAAAAUUUGAUAUGUAAACAAAAUAUGAUUACGUCAUUUUAAAAAGUACUCAUUGUACAUGUAAAUGCUUAAAACAUGUAGCAUAUUUAAUUUGGUUGGAUUAUAGGUUUCAUUCUUCAUUCACAUCUCAUUUUUUAUGACGUAAAGGGCUUGAAAAAUGUCGAUAAGUUUAUCGAUAUACCAAACAAACUGAAACUGAAAUUAUUCAAAUUAAUUUUAGAUUUCCAGUGGAUCCAAAUAGAAGGAGAAGGUGGAUAGAGGCAGUCGGAAGACAAAAUAUGUGAAUUCCAACUAAAAACCACUGCAUUUGUAGCAUUCAUUUUGCGGAAGAAUGCUACAAUGCCAAUUCUACGAAACAGAGAAAACUGCACAAAGAUUCUAUACCUACAUUGAAUUUGCCUAAAUUUUCACAUGAAACAAAAGAUGAUGAGAUCGACAUAGAUGGAACAUACAAAACAAGCACACCAGUAAAUGUUUUAUUUUCGGUAUGCAAUACCGAGGUGGAACCUUUUAGAUCUGUGUCAUCCCUCACGUUUAGUGAAAUACCGGGGUGGUUGGAACUUGAUUUGGUCCAUCCUGUCAUCAACUGUUUUUCAAUGGGACGACUUCUGAACAUCAGAGAGAUCUUAACUGUCAAGAUACGUGAAUUAGGCCACUGAACUUUUCAAAACAAAACCAACACAGGUGAAAUAUCUGAGCAUCUCCCUUGACAACAAAUUGAACUGGGCGAGUCAUAUCGACAACAUGCAUAGUGCCUAGCAAACAUAGCGGCCACGGGUUGUAUGAGAACCACUCUAUCGGCAUCACUUGACUUCUUUCUGAAUCUCAGACAUUUAGACCUCAUUAUUCAGGAGGAAGCACAAGCACCCACUCUAAGACUUAAAGGAAACGAUCUAUGAAAGCAAAACAAGGAGACAUGAUAUUCCGCGAUUCUGCACAAAACCCUAAAAGAAAUACCCCUCAUCAACAGGAUAGGUACCCUGUGUACACAUCUUCGACCAAAGAAUAUAAUAUCCAGCUUACAGCGGAAACGCGAAAUUGCUCUGGAAUCAAUGAAGUUAGGAUAUACCGACGUCUUCAAAACCGAAAUAAGUACUGGGAGGUCUUCUCGAAUGACCUAAACAUAAGAAUAUCAACAACAUUAGAUAAGAAUUAAAUAAUCUCAGAUAGUGCAUCCGUACUGCAAGCGCUACAAAGCAAUACAUUGUCAUAAUGUUAUCAAAUUGUGUUUCAUGAAAUGUAUAGAAAUAGGCUAUUGAUGAAACUUUUGUCCGUGACGUGAGACAGAUUAUAACAUUUGUUGAGACCAAAAGCUAGUUAGCAGUCGAUCGUAACAGAAUAUUACUUGUUUAUUGCUUUACGAAUUUGAUAAUGAUAACACAGCAAAAAAAUAUUUCACCUAGUUACCUACCUAUAUGAAUAAUUUGUAAUAUUAUUUGUACCUAUAAU